GUACACGCUGUGACUAGCAUAUCAAUAAGCGGAGGAAAAGAAACUAACAAGGAUUCCCCUAGUAACGGCGAGUGAAGCGGGAAGAGCUCAAAUUUGAAAUCUUAAAGGGUUUCCCUUUACGAAUUGUAGUUUAAAGAAGUGUUUUCUGUUGAGGUUUUGGUAAAAGUUCUUUGGAAUAGGACAUCAUAGAGGGUGAGAAUCCCGUAUUUGACCUUUACUUUCAACUUUGUGAUACACUUUCAAAGAGUCGGAUUGUUUGGGAAUGCAGUCCAAAAUGGGUGGUAAAUUUCAUCUAAAGCUAAAUAUUGGCGAGAGACCGAUAGCGAACAAGUACCGUGAGGGAAAGAUGAAAAGAACUUUGAAAAGAGAGUUAAACAGUACGUGAAAUUGUCAAAAGGGAAGCGUUUGACACCAGUGUUGUUUUUCUGAAAAUCAAUUAAAGAACUGUUUAUGCUAAGUUGUUUAGACUUUAUCAGCUAACUGUUUAGUUUUGAGCUUUUCUUUAAUGCACUUUUCAGUUAACAAGUCAACAUCAAUUUCUUUUGCUGUAAAAAAGCUUGAGGAAGGUGGCUUGAGAUUCGUCUUAAGUGUUUAUAGCCUCUUGCCUAUGCAGUCGGAGAGAUUGAAGUCUGCAGCGUAGAUCCUUCGGGGCUAAAUGCAUUUGUGCUAAGUUAUAGCAUUUUAUAGACAACUUGUUGACUAUGAUUUGUCUUGUAGCUUACUCGCUUAUGUUAUUUUACCUACGCUUAGGAUGUUGAGUCGUAGAGCACGCAG
rnacentral:rRNA from 1 species